rnacentral:rRNA from 1 species
AGUACCGUGAGGGAAAGGUGAAAAGGACCCCGGGAGGGGAGUGAAAGAGAACCUGAAACCGUGGACCUGCAAGCGGUCAGAGCCCGAGAGGGUGAUGGCGUGCCUUUUGUAGAAUGAGCCUGCGAGUCACCGUGUGCGGCGAGGUUAAGGGAUAGGAGUCCCGGAGCCGCAGGGAAACCGAGUCUGAAGAGGGCGCAUAGUCGCAUGCGGUGGACCCGAAGCCAAGUGAUCUAGCCAUGGCCAGGCUGAAGCUGCAGUGAAAUGCAGUGGAGGGCCGAACCUAAAUCCGCUGAAAAGGGUUGGGAUGAGCUGUGGCUCGGAGUGAAAGGCUAAUCAAACUUGGAGAUAGCUGGUACUCUCCGAAAUAGCUUUAGGGCUAGCGUCGCCUGUAUUGUCGCGGAGGUAGAGCACUGGAUAGGUGAGGGCCCGUCACUGGGUACCGAUCUUAACCAAACUCCGAAUGCCGCGACACGUUGGGCGGCAGUCAGACGGCGGCUGACAAGGGCCGUCGUCGAGAGGGAAACAGCCCGGACCGCCGGCUAAGGUCCCCAAGGCGCGCUGAGUGGGAAAGGAAGUACGAUUGCACAGACAGCCAGGAGGUUGGCUCAGAAGCAGCCACCCCUUCAAAGAGUGCGUAACAGCUCACUGGUCGAGUAGUCGUGCGCCGAUAAUGUAACGGGGCUAAGCGCGCCACCGAAGCCGCGGGACGCAGACGAGGUCUGCGUCGGUAGGAGAGCAUUGCGUAUGCGGACGAAGCGGGACCCGCGAGGGCCCGUGGACGCGGCGCAAGAGAGAAUGCAGGCAUGAGUAACGGAAAGACGGGUGGGAUCCCCGUCCGCCUGAAGCCCGAGGUUUCCAGGGUAAAGGUAAUCUGCCCGAGGGUCAGUCGGCCCCUAAGGCGAGGGCGAGAGCCGUAGCCGAUGGGAAGCGGGUCAACAUUCCCGCACCUCCCGGAGAUUCGACGGGACGACGCAUAGGGCGAAGCGCAGCCGGGCGAUGGUAGUCCCGGCCGAAACGGCGAGCCGAAGAGGGGCCCAGGCAAAUCCGGGACCUGAGGCGAGCCGCGAGCGAGGCCCCCCACGGGGGGAGGAAGUGCGCCGAGUCGUCGUGCCGAGAAAUAGUCCCUAAGGUUCGUCUCCGGGGGACCGUACCGCAAACCGACACAGGUGGGCGAGCUGAGAAUGCGCAGGCGCUCGGAAGAAUCCGCGUUAAGGAACUCGGCAAAAUGCAUACGUAACUUCGGGAUAAGUAUGGCCCUUCGGGGCUGCAGAGAAAUGGCCCAUGCGACUGUUUACCAAAAACACAGGUCCAUGCGAACCGGCAACGGGAAGUAUAUGGACUGACACCUGCCCGGUGCUGGAAGGUCAAGGGGAGCCGUCAGGCAACGAAGCGGCGAACCCAAGCCCCAGUAAACGGCGGCCGUAACUAUAACGGUCCUAAGGUAGCGAAAUUCCUUGUCGGGUAAGUUCCGACCCGCACGAAUGGUGCAACGACAUGGGCGCUGUCUCAACGUGGAAUCCGGUGAAAUUGAAGUCCAGGUGAAGAUGCCUGGUACCCGUGGUCAGACGGAAAGACCCCGUGAACCUUUACUUCACCCCGGCAUUGGGAGCUGGGCAGGGAUGUGUAGGAUAGGUGGGAGGCAUUGAGGCGUGGGCGUCAGCCUGCGCGGAGCCGGCGGUGAAAUACCACCCUUGCCUGUCCAUCUCUCUAACGCGGGCCGUGAGCCGGCCCGCGCACAGUGCCGGGCGGGAAGUUUGACUGGGGCGGUCGCCUCCCAAAGGGUAACGGAGGCGCGCGAAGGUCGCCUUAGGAUGGUUGGGAAUCAUCCGGCAAGCGCAAAGGCACAAGGCGGCUUGACUGCGAGGCCGACAAGCCGAGCAGGUACGAAAGUAGGUCUUAGUGAUCUGGCGGUAGCGAGUGGAAGCGCCGUCACUUAACGGAUAAAAGGUACUCCGGGGAUAACAGGCUGAUCUUGCCCAAGAGUUCAUAUCGACGGCAAGGUUUGGCACCUCGAUGUCGGCUCAUCGCA